GUCCCCUACGUAUGCGUCCAAAAUAUAAACAAUAGUUAAAUCCCGUUUGAAAGGUUGAUUUUCUUUCUACGACCCUACAUCUAACACCAGAGACUAAAAGUAAGAAAAGAAAGCCAGAAAAAGUUUCAUCGUAUAAAAAGUUAAUAAGAAACGAAUGAGUAUCGAAUAAGAAACCGGGUAUCAAUCGAACAUUGAAACGGGUACGUACGCGCUUAUAGAUCUUUUGACUUCUAAGAACCCAUAGAUAACACCCGAGACAAGAAAACAUAUUCAAAUUUUGUUUAUACAAGAUGCAUCGUAUGAAAAACGAAUAACAAACGAGUAGGAAACAAAUAAGUCACAGAAUAUCAGUCGCACGCUGAAACAAACAUACCCACUCAUAUGGUUAUUUCCAAUCUACAAAC
rnacentral:lncRNA from 1 species